CUUUCCUCUUCCAUACCGAACACAGCCUCCCCUUUCCUCUCCCAUACUGAACACAGCCUCUCCUUUCUUCUCCCAUGCCUAACACAGCUCUCCCUUGCCUUGCCCAUACCUAACACUAUUUCUUUUACCUUCUCUUUCCUCUCCCAUGCCAAACACAGCCUCCCAUGCUCCAAGUCUAAUAUUCUUCCUUCCCCUGACCACUAACACGUCCUCCCUGCCCUUCCAGCCCUGCCAGGUCACCGCCAGCCUUGCCCCAGCCACACAUUCCUACUAUUACUUGUGUGACCUAAUUUGCACUUAACAUUUUGUCGCAUCUGUCACAUUUUUGAGCCGGCAUGCACAGUGCAGUGCUCUCUUUGGCUUUAUUAUGGCUUAGGAAGUGUAAGAGCAGACUGUGGCUUCUCCAGGCUUGAGUGAAAGAAGCCCUUCAGGCGAGCUGCACCUCAGGCCACCCAUUACUGUGUGGAAUAAGUAAUGCCGGUCAUCCACACCAGUCACCAAUGUUAUGGUUUAAAUUCAAUUUUAAUUACAAAAGAAGGUGAUCCAAACCAGGAUGACCUUUCCGUUCCUAAGAUGUGCAGUGAGUGGAGCAGUCCUGUACCACACACACACACACACACACACACACACACACACACACACACACACACACACACACACACACACACACACACACACACACACACACACACAGGAAGAAUGAAGAAGCUUUGCACUCUAACACGUUUACUAUUGUUUGUAGAGAAGAAAUCCCCUCAUGGAAGUAUUGGUUGUUGUUUGCAUUGAUCUUGGCUGGGCCAGCAGGGAGCCUUGGCCUUGCUGAGCAGAAGCCUAAGCCAUUUGGGUCAGGUGAAUCGGGACCAGACCAGGUCAAGAGGUCGUCUUUCCACAGAGGUCGUCACGUUGGUUAUUACUGCUUCUAUUGACCAGCUGCUGCAGAGUAUUACUGAAUAUUUACUUCAAGCUCUGUGUUCCUUAACUUUAAAACUCAUGCAAAGAAUGACUUAGACCUACUGAUUUGUAAUAAAACUUUAUCAAUCAAGAGUAUGCAAUAAAUUAUAUAUGAAAUA